rnacentral:misc_RNA from 1 species
GUUGAAAUCUAAUAUGUGUAUGGACUUCCAUACAGGAAAUUCCAGUGGAUGCGUAUUAUUUUGCUUGGAGUAUAGAAUUCCCAGCUAGUGCUUGUUGCCCUUAAUAAUCAUAUUUUUCUCAAUUCAAGUUCGGGGGAAAAUUUGAUUGAUGUUAAUUAUAUCUUGAUUCCAUAUAAGUAGGAUCGGUUUGUCAUUUAAUCUCUUUUUUUUUUUUU